rnacentral:tRNA from 1 species
GGGUGAUUAGCUCAGUUGGUUAGAGCGCUUGCUCGACACGCAAGAGGUCAUUGGUUCGAAUCCAAUAUCGCCCACCA